UGAACGCUGGCGGUAGGCCUAACACAUGCAAGUCGAACGGCAGCACAGUAAGAGCUUGCUCUUACGGGUGGCGAGUGGCGGACGGGUGAGGAAUACAUCGGAAUCUACUUUUUCGUGGGGGAUAACGUAGGGAAACUUACGCUAAUACCGCAUACGACCUACGGGUGAAAGCAGGGGAUCUUCGGACCUUGCGCGAUUGAAUGAGCCGAUGUCGGAUUAGCUAGUUGGCGGGGUAAAGGCCCACCAAGGCGACGAUCCGUAGCUGGUCUGAGAGGAUGAUCAGCCACACUGGAACUGAGACACGGUCCAGACUCCUACGGGAGGCAGCAGUGGGGAAUAUUGGACAAUGGGCGCAAGCCUGAUCCGGCCAUACCGCGUGGGUGAAGAAGGCCUUCGGGUUGUAAAGCCCUUUUGUUGGGAAAGAAAAGCAGCAGGUUAAUACCCCGCUGUUCUGACGGUACCCAAAGAAUAAGCACCGGCUAACUUCGUG
rnacentral:rRNA from 1 species